rnacentral:rRNA from 1 species
CCUACGGGAGGCAGCAGUCGAGAAUAUUCCACAAUGGACGAAAGUCUGAUGGAGCGACGCCGCGUGCGGGAUGAAGGCCCUCGGGUUGUAAACCGCUUUUUUCAGGGAGCAAUUUCGAUGAGAGUACCUGAAGAAUAAGAGGUUACUAACUCUGUGCCAGCAGUAGCGGUAAUACAGAGACCUCAAGCGUUAUCCGGAUUUAUUGGGCGUAAAGCGCAGGUAGGCCGGUUUAUUAGUCGGAUGUCAAAGACCGGGGGCUCAACUCCGGGAAGGCAUUCGAAACGGUAUACCUAGAGAAUGUGAGAGAUGAGUGGAAUUCAUGGUGUAGUAGUGAAAUGCGUUGAUAUCAUGAGGAACACCGAAGGCGAAGGCAACUCAUUGGCACAUUUCUGACGCUGAGCUGCGAGAGCGUGGGGAGCGAAUGGGAUUAGAUACCCCAGUAGUCCACGCUGUAAACGAUGCAUACUAGGUGCAGGGAGAAUCGACCCUUUCUGUGCCGUAGCUAACGCGUUAAGUAUGCCGCCUGGGAAGUACGAGCGCAAGCUUAAAACUCAAAGGAAUUGACGG